rnacentral:rRNA from 1 species
AACUGCGAAUGGGUCAUUAUAUUAGUUAUCGGUUAUUUGAUAGUACCUUAGUACUUGGAUAACCGGGCCACUUCUAGAGCUAAUACAUGCUAAAAAUCCCGACUUCGGGAGGCAUGUAUUUAUUAAAUUAAAAACCAAUGCCCUCCGGGGCUCACUGGUGAUUCAUGAUAACUCCUCGAAUCGCAUGGCCUUGCGCCGGCGAUGGUUCAUUCAAAUUUCUUCCCUAUCAACUUUCGAUGUUUGGGUAUUGGCCAAACAUGGUUGCAACGGGUAACGGAGGGUUAGGGCUCGACCCCGGAGAAGGAGCCUGAGAAACGGCUACUACAUCCAAGGAAGGCAGCAGGCGCGCAAAUUACCCAAUCCCGACUCGGGGAGGUAGUGACAAUAAAUACUGAUACAGGGCUCUUUUGGGUCUUGUAAUUGGAAUGAGUACAAUUUAAAUCCCUUAACGAGGAACAAUUGGAGGGCAAGUCUGGUGCCAGCAGCCGCGGUAAUUCCAGCUCCAAUAGCGUAUAUUAAAGUUGUUGUGGUUAAAAAGCUCGUAGUUGAACCUUGGGCCUGGCUGGCCGGUCCGCCUCACCGCGUGUACUGGUCCGGCCGGGCCUUUCCCUCUGUGGAACCCCAUGCCCUUCACUGGGUGUGGCGGGGAAACAGGACUUUUACUGUGAAAAAAUUAGAGUGCUCCAGGCAGGCCUAUGCUCGAAUACAUUAGCAUGGAAUAAUAGAAUAGGACGUGUGGUUCUAUUUUGUUG